rnacentral:rRNA from 1 species
UGGGGAAUAUUGGACAAUGGACGCAAGUCUGAUCCAGCCAUGCCGCGUGCGGGAAGAAGGCCUUCGGGUUGUAAACCGCUUUUGUCAGGGAAGAAACGAGUUUCCCUAAUACAGAGACUCAAUGACGGUACCUGAAGAAUAAGCACCGGCUAACUACGUGCCAGCAGCCGCGGUAAUACGUAGGGUGCGAGCGUUAAUCGGAAUUACUGGGCGUAAAGCGUGCGCAGGCGGUUAUGUAAGACAGAUGUGAAAUCCCCGGGCUCAACCUGGGACCUGCAUUUGUGACUGUAUAGCUAGAGUACGGUAGAGGGGGAUGGAAUUCCGCGUGUAGCAGUGAAAUGCGUAGAUAUGCGGAGGAACACCGAUGGCGAAGGCAAUCCCCUGGGCCUGUACUGACGCUCAUGCACGAAAGCGUGGGGAGCAAACA